GGUAGUCCACGCCGUAAACGAUGGGCGCUAGGUGUGGGGACCCUUCCAUGGUCUCUGCGUCGCAGCUAACGCAUUAAGCGCCCCGCCUGGGGAGUACGGUCGCAAGACUAAAACUCAAAGGAAUUGACGGGGGCCCGCACAAGCAGCGGAGCAUGCGGCUUAAUUCGAUGCAACGCGAAGAACCUUACCUAGGCUUGACAUAUAGAGAAAUCCCACAGAGAUGUGGAGUCCGAAAGGGCUCUAUACAGGUGGUGCAUGGUUGUCGUCAGCUCGUGUCGUGAGAUGUUGGGUUAAGUCCCGCAACGAGCGCAACCCUCGUUCUAUGUUGCCAGCGGUUCGGCCGGGGACUCAUAGAAGACUGCCGUGGUCAACACGGAGGAAGGUGGGGAUGACGUCAAAUCACCAUGCCCCUUAUGCCUAGGGCUGCACGCAUGCUACAAUGGCUGGUACAAAGGGCUGCGAUACCGCAAGGUGGAGCGAAUCCCAAAAAGCCAGUCUCAGUUCGGAUUGGGGUCUGCAACUCGACCCCAUGAAGUCGGAGUUGCUAGUAAUCGCAGAUCAGCAACGCUGCGGUGAAUACGUUCCCGGGCCUUGUACACACCGCCCGUCACGUCACGAAAGUC
rnacentral:rRNA from 1 species